rnacentral:rRNA from 1 species
UCAACCCUCGAACCCCUCCGGGGGGUCGGCGUUGGGGAUCGGCCCCUCACCGGGCCGCCCCCGAAAUCCAGUGGCGGUCUCGCCGCAGCCUCUCCUGCGCAGUAGUUUGCACACUCGCACCGGGAGCGCGGCGCGGCCACAGCCGUAAAACACCCCAAACUCUGAAAUG